rnacentral:rRNA from 1 species
CAGUCGCCGCGGGAAUACGAAGGGUGCAAGCGUUACUCGGAAUUACUGGGCGUAAGGCGUGUGUAGGUGGUUGUUUAAGUCUGUCGUGAAAGCCCUGGGCUCAACCUGGGAAUUGCGAUGGAUACUGGGCGACUAGAGUGCGGUAGAGGAUAGUGGAAUUUCCGGUGUAGCAGUGAAAUGCGUAGAGAUCGGAAGGAACAUCUGUGGCGAAGGCGACUAUCUGGGCCAACACUGACACUGAGACACGAAAGCGUGGGGAGCAAACAGGAUUAGAUACCCCUGUAGUCCCUGUCUCUUAUAC